GGAGGCGUCGCCUAGUCCGGUCGAUGGCGCCCGCCUGCUAAGCGGGUUGAGGGGAAACCCUCUCGCGAGUUCAAAUCUCGCCGCCUCCG
rnacentral:tRNA from 1 species